rnacentral:rRNA from 1 species
AUUGAACGCUGGCGGCAUGCCUUACACAUGCAAGUCGAACGGCAGCACGGGAGCAAUCCUGGUGGCGAGUGGCGAACGGGUGAGUAAUAUAUCGGAACGUGCCCGGUCGUGGGGAUAACGUAGCGAAAGCUACGCUAAUACCGCAUACGAUCUACGGAUGAAAGCGGGGGAUCGCAAGACCUCGCGCGAUUGGAGCGGCCGAUAUCAGAUUAGGUAGUUGGUGAGGUAAAGGCUCACCAAGCCGACGAUCUGUAGCUGGUCUGAGAGGACGACCAGCCACACUGGGACUGAGACACGGCCCAGACUCCUACGGGAGGCAGCAGUGGGGAAUUUUGGACAAUGGGCGCAAGCCUGAUCCAGCAAUGCCGCGUGCAGGAUGAAGGCCUUCGGGUUGUAAACUGCUUUGUUACGGAACGAAACGGUAGAGCUCUAAUACAGUUGCUAAUGACGGUACCGUAAGAAUAAGACACCGGC